GAUUUAAAUUUGAUUGAUGUGAUAAGUAGUGCAACAAAAACAAAGUACAGUUUAAUAGUGGACUCUGUAAUUGUACAGUUUAUGAGCUAUUACUGAAGUUGAACAAUAAAUUAUAUAGAUGAAAUGGACCGUGCAAUAUGGACGAUACAUCAAUGCAAUGCGGCAGCUUGGCCAGGUAGGUCCUGCGUCGCCGACCGCGCCUUCCGCGACGAAUCGGGAGCGAGUUUGGUCUUAUCAAUGUGCCACAAGUAUUACACAAUUUCGACAAAAUCUUAUAAAAAUUAUGAAAUAGCUAUAUACUUAACUAUUUCAAAAUUUAAGUUGUAAUUUUUUAGAACAUAAUACUGACAUUAUUACUGCACUGUUCGUAAAUAAAAGCUCUUAAAUAAAUUGUUUACCGAUUAUAAUUAUUA